AUCUUGAGAAAUUUCAUCGUGAUGGGGAUAGAUCAUUGCAAUUGUUGGUCUUCAACGAGGAAUGCCUAGUAAGCGCGAGUCAUCAGCUCGCGUUGACUACGUCCCUGCCCUUUGUACACACCGCCCGUCGCUCCUACCGAUUGAAUGGUCCGGUGAAGUGUUCGGAUCGCGACGACGGGGGNGGUUCGCCGCCCCCGACNUCGCGAGAAGUCCAUUGAACCUUAUCAUUUAGAGGAAGGAGAAGUCGUAACAAGGUUUCCGUAGGUGAACCUGCGGAAGGAUCAUUG
rnacentral:rRNA from 1 species